rnacentral:rRNA from 1 species
CCAAUGUCAAAAAAAAACGAUGAGGCAGCGAAAAGAAAUAGAGCCGGCAGUGCCACUGGCAUUGCCGUUUUCAAUGGGGGAUAUNNAAACCCAUCCAAAAUCGAGUAUCAAUUGGAGGACAAGUCUGGUGCCAGCANCCGCGGUANUC